rnacentral:rRNA from 1 species
GCCUAGCCAUAAACUUUAAUUUACAACCUAACCGCCAGAGAACUACGAGCUUAGCUUAAAACUCAAAGGACUUGACGGUUCUCCAUAUCCCCCUAGAGGAGCCUGUCCUACAAUCGAUAAUCCCCGUUUAACCUCACCCCUUUUAGCUUUUCAGCCUGUAUACUUCCGUCGCAAGCCCACCACGUGAAUGAAACUCAGUCGGCUUAACUGCCCAUUCAGCACAAACGUCAGGUCAAGGUGCAGCAUAUAGGGGGGCAAGAGAUGGGCUACAUUCUCUAAUAUAGAGUAUACGGAAAGCUAAUAUGAAACCUAGCUUAAAGGUGGAUUUAGAAGUAAAGCGGGAGCAGAGCGCCCCCUUUAACCCGGCACUGGAGUGCGUACACACCGCCCGUCACCCUCCUCAAAGCCAUUAACAAGUACUUAACACCCCAUAGCUGCAAGAGGAGGCAAGUCAUAACA